CGCGCGGGUGCGGCUCCACCCUCUGAAGGGCAGGGCGAGAAGCCAAUGAGAGCAAGUGCGCCGCCCAAGGCGCUCGGCAGCCUGCAGCGGCCGGGGGAGCGGGCUGGGAUGCCGCAGCCUGGAACUUGCUACUGUGUGACUGGAAACUUACCCUGGCAGCCCCACAGUGUGUUAAUGUACUGAGCAGUAAUGAAGUUACAGUGAUGGAUUUUCCUCGACUAUCACAUUUGCUGCUUCAUCCAAGAAGCAUUUAAAAGAGAGGAAGGAAGACAAUACCUCUCAAAUACAGGCGCUAUCAAGACAAGCUGAAUGUACAAAAUAGCAUGAUAUAGAAAAGCAGAUGAAUCCCAAUACUCAGAUCACUGAGAACAGAAACUCUCUCAAGAAUACAUCAUUGCCAUUCUGGAAUAGAAGCCUGUACCCAGAAAGACAGAGAUGCCAUAUACUGGGCAAACAUGAUCAAGGACAACUGAGACCUGUGAGCAAUUGUGAUGCAAGUGGGGAAAAGCAAGCCAAGCAGCAAAAAAAAAAAAAAGGACAAUGGAAAUACACAGGAUUCCGAACAGAGCAAAGUGAUAAUGGACUCUUUGAUCACAAACUACCUUAUUACUUAGGUUACUAGCUAGACUCCUGGGAACUAGCUCAACUGUCAAGCACUAUUAUCCUUAUAGACAAAGUAAUGAAGCAUUUCAGCAGGCGUGGCAUCCCACCCUGUAUAGUUUCAGACAAUAGACCACAGCUGACUUGCAGCAAACGUAAGGUCCCAGGGGUCUAGAACCCGGGCUUAGUAGAGGUACCAGGCAGCUGGCCUCUCCAGGCUGCCCCCCAGCAGCAGCUGUAACUGGCUUGUACAUCACUCCCCAUGACACACUCUAGAUAUAGACCCCUAGAAGUUCUGCCUCGAGAGUUUGAUAGACAGCAGCCCUUAGCUCCUCAUUUGCUCCCUGCCCUAUAUAAACUCAAGGGGCAUUCUAGUAAGUAUUCAGGUAAGCGUGUGGAUCUUCUGUAGCUGCCAUGGCUAUUACAGCUCCUUACUCUUGAAUUCCUGGCUUGAUUUGGACUUCACCUCCUGACUUGGACUCUGACCCUUGGUAUCAACUCUAGCCUGGACCUGCUAUGAACUCCUCUGCUACUCCUAGCCUCAGGUUUGCUCCUGCUCUGGCCCUAGGCCCUGGCUUGUUGGGCUCCUGACAAUAAGUUUGUGCAAUUUAUCCAGAAAUGGGAUCACAUCAUUGUCCUAUAAUUGCCAUACCACAGCUAGUCACUGACAAAGCUGACUAGGCAGUUAAAGUUGCUACGACUGUUAAAGAAAGUGGCAAAAAGCAAAGAGAAUAUAUGGCAAGACAUUCUCGAAUGGAGAAACACUCCCACAGAAGGCAUUGAUAGCAGUCCAGUACGAUAUUUGAUGUCAAGAUGAACAUUUUGUGACCCAAGAACUCCUCAAUGCCAACUGGCAAGGGCAUUGCGAGAGUAUUAUGAUUAUGUACAUUCUGAUUCACCAAAGAAUGUCAUGUGAGGUCUCAAAUGAAACCCAGGGUCACACAAGUCACUGUUAUUAUUGAGAAAUACUAUGUGAGGAGUUAUGCAUGUAGACUGAAAAUAUGUUUGUAGCUUCUGUAUCAUAGUACAGGCAGAAACAAGUUUCUUGUCAGACAAAAUAUGUUUAUUCACACCUCUCUCUAUCAGCAUGUAAGCUAAGACAACGGAUGCACAAUUAUGUACAAAGUCAGACGUAUGAAGUCAACAGGUAUGAGCACACAGGAAAAACAAGUAACAGGUGGUUGUACUGUGUCUGAGUACAGACAGUGAACUUUGGGGAAAUAUGCAGAAGGCAAAAAAGGCAUCCCCUUAUCCUGCACCAAGGAAGUAAAUGGGAUCACAACCAGCUGUGGUUGAAGACAUUGUAAAGCUUUGGGUACUCUUCCUCCUCGGAAAUAACUAGUUCAAGGACACCAUAAGAUCUCUUUGCAUAUAAAGUGGAUCUUCAAUACUCUGUGAAACUGGAUGACAAAACCCUCUGAUGUGAUGUGUUAUAUUAUUCAGCUCAGAGAGAAGGAUGGAAGAAUGGGGCCACACUCUAUGUGAUGCAGAAUGAACAAGAACUUAAAAUCAUGUUGCACACAUUCAAAUGAAAUGUCAGCAUGCAACAAAAAAUAAACAAACAAAAAAACCGGAGCUGAGUGUUAUGACUAUAAAGUACCCAUGAUCAUAGCUUCAACUUACAGAGAACAUAGCUCUCCUUUCACUAUUUCUCCUUCAGAGCCUCUUAUUAUUAGGGCCCCAGACUCUAGUAGGAAUGGGGGACCCGUUAGCAGGACUUCUCCCACAAGUAAAUACUAUGUAAUGUAAGUGAGGCUUGUAGCAUCUGGCUCAGUAUUUGUAACUUGAAAAAUAUCAGUCACUUAAAAUAUAGCAUUUACUGGAUCUGGAGACAGCCAUGCUGUCCUCUAGUCUCAUUGGGCAAGGCCACUGAGCAGGAACAAGGUUUUGUACAAAAUGUUUUAGGUGAAACCACUUUGUAUGUAUUAUGUAAUGCCCCCAAGUGAAUCCUAAAUAAUUAAUCUAAAAGCAAUCCUAUUGUCAUGUCAGUUCCUGUUAGCUAUUACAGUGGAAUAUGCCAGACUUUCUCCUUCACUCAAUGUCACUAGUAUAUGUAUUUAUUUAAAAAUGACAUGUUUUAUACCAUAUAUAUAAUACAAAUACUGCUUUAUAAUACA